rnacentral:sRNA from 1 species
GUAGUGUCAUCCGUCAUGGUUGGUGACCCAGGGUCACCAACCAUGACGGAUGACAUGUAGCAU